rnacentral:lncRNA from 1 species
AGGACACAGACAGGCAGUUAGAGAUUACACCCAGACAGCAUGUGCAGCGUUUCAGAUAGACACACAACAAGCCCAGUCCAGUACUUCCUUACCCAGACAUUCACAAUAGGCCUGAGCCUCAAACACCCAUAAAGUCCAUAGAGCUUCAGCCAGAGGCCAUAUACUGCAGCUAACCGUGUCCCAUAGUCCAGUUCCACAAAGCCUUGAGGUCAACUGAAGGCAAUGAGAAGAGCAACUCCACAGACAAAGUUCUUCCUGCUCUCCUUUCCUGCUCUCCUUUCCUGCUCUCCUUUCCUGCUCUCCUUUCCUGCUCUCCUUUCCUGCUCUCCUUUCCUGCUCUCCUUUCCUGCUCUCCUCCACUCUUUGUGCUGUGUGUUCUAUUGCCCUCUCAGGGAGGAAAGCUGACAUUUUCACCUGAGAGGGCAAUAGAACACACAGCACAAAGAGUGGAGGAGAGCAGGAAAGGAGAGCAGGAAAGGAGAGCAGGAAGAACUUUGUCUGUGGAGUUGCUCUUCUCAUUGCCUUCAGUUGACCUCAAGGCUUUGUGGAACUGGACUAUGGGACACGGUUAGCUGCAGUAUAUGGCCUCUGGCUGAAGCUCUAUGGACUUUAUGGGUGUUUGAGGCUCAGGCCUAUUGUGGAUGUCUGGGUACUGAGCCCCUGAGUCAUUGUCUAUGAAUACACUGGCUGUCUGUACUGUAGUGAGUGUCCCCAAGCCAGCUAACCUCAAGGAGGAAGAUGUGGGAGAUGCGCACAGACACAAACAUAUGUCCUACAGAACAUGAAUGAAAAAGGACGCUCUUUGAUGCUUCUGAGUGUGAAGUAAGACACAUAGGUUACACUACAGAGAGUUCUGGACUUACUCUCUCUUUCUCUCUCUCUCUCUCUCACACACACACGCACACACACCCUAACACACACACCCUGAGACAUGGAUACUAUGGUGAAGCAGUCUCUGGCGGUGCCCAUGAAGAUGCUGUCCAGCUGUGUGACAGGAGUGAAGGAGAGAGAGGUGUGGGCCAGGCGCAGGGCCAAGAGGGGGACAGGAGGAGUAAAGAGCAGCCCUCCACGGACAGGACAGACCUCCGUCAUACGCUCCUACCAAACUGACCUGGAGAAGGAGAGGAAGCUGAGGGAAGCCCUGAAUGCUCAGAAGCACGCAGAGAGAGCCGCCAUGAGGGAUCACUUCAGGAAGAAGUACCAGCUCUCCAAGAUGAGGACACCAUUAAUUCCUUAACGAGAUGGAGGAGAGAGCCCACAGCCCCUCUGUCACAGAUCCUUAUGCACAGAUUUAGGAUCAGCUCUUCUAUAAUUAUAACCGUUAGGGGGAGAAAUUUGAAACUGACGACAUCCUACUGCCACAGUGGAUGAGAUAAGUCAACGGGCAACGUUAACACCUUUCACUGUACCACACAGAUGCUGG